rnacentral:tRNA from 1 species
AUGGAGUGGUGAGCUCCUCUUAUCA